rnacentral:rRNA from 1 species
AUACGGAGGGUCCGGGCGUUAUCCGGAUUUAUUGGGUUUAAAGGGAGCGCAGGCGGAGAUGCAAGCGUGACGUCAAAUUUCGGGGCUCAACCCCGUCUCGCGUCGCGAACUGCGUCCCUUGGUUGCGGGAAGGGGAGGCGGAACUCGUGGUGUAGCGGUGAAAUGCAUAGAUAUCACGAAGAACUCCGAUCGCGAAGGCAGCCUUCCGGCCCGUCAACGACGCUCAUGCUCGAAGGUGCGGGUAUCAAACAGGAUUAGAUACCCUGGUAGUCCGCACAGUAAACGAUGGACACCCGCGGUUUGGCCUGUAUGGCUGAGCCGCCAAGCGAAAGCGUUAAGUGUCCCACCUGGGGAGUACGCCGGCAACGGUGAAACUUAAAUGAAUUGACGGGG